CCCAGCUGAGGGUUGGCAGUUGUGUAAGAAAUUGAGCAAGACUUGCUUUUAAAGGUUCUUUCCUCCACCUGGUUUUCUCCUCUGUCUUGGGGCUAAUGUAAUGAGAACUCCACAUCAGAUGCCAGUUUGCUCUAUGAGAACUAGGGGAGCAGAAGCAGACUUCUGAAAAGUUGGCUUCUACUUUAAGCCCUGGAGAGUGGGUUAUCAGGUGUGAAAAGGCUGGAAGAGAGAUGCUCUGCCAGAAUCCCUCUUCCCAGGAAUAGCCAAGUGAAAAGUAUGAAUCGCUGACUUGAAAAGCCGUCUGUGUUUAUUCAGAUCCUUAAACCAGUGCCGCUCAAAGGAUGGUCUAUAACUGAGAUUAGUCCAUAAACUAUUUGUUUCUGGUCCAGAUGAGGUAAGUAAUAGAAUUGAAUGUUUAGAAAUGUUUACAGUCUUUUGACAUUGUUGUAACAACCAAGCCAUGAUCAAUAGGUUCGCUUUUCUAUACUGUAGUUGUUUAAUUUUUCUAGAAAUGAAUUUUUUUACUGUACAAAAGUACUGACCUAUAACAGGGGAAAGAAAGCUGAUCUAUCACCAGGAUUAGUUGGAUAAGCACUGCUUUAAAUGCAUUCUUGUGAGGCAGACAUGUUCUGAAAUGACUUCCUGUCCUCAGCUGUGGGCUGAUCCUGGUUACUUGCUUCUGACAAAUAGAGUAUGGCCAAAGUGAUGCAAUGUCAUUUCCAAGAUUAGGUUAUAAAAAGGCUGUGUCUUAUAUCUUGCUUACUAUCCUAGUCUGUUUGGGCUGCUAUAACAAGAACUGGGUAACUUAUAAGCAGCAGAAGUUUAUUGCUUACAGUUCUGGAAGCUGAAAGUACAAGGUCAAGGUGCCAGCAAGGUUAGUCUGGUGAGAGGCCUCAUCUGGGUUGCAGACAGCUAGCUUCUUGUAUCUUCACAGAGUGGAAGGGACAAGGGAGGCUUUUAAAAAGCCCUUUCUCAGUGGCUUUUUAAAAAUUAAUUUAUUUUUGGCUGUGCUGGGUCUUCCUUUCUUUGUGGUCUCUUCUCUAGUUGUGGCGAUUGGGGGUUCCUUUUCGUUUCUCAUUGCGGUGCCUUCUCUUGUUGCAGAGCAUGGGCCCGAGGGCUCUCGGGCUUCAGUAGUUGUGGCUUGGCGGCUUAGUAGUUGCGGCUUGGCGGCUUAGUAGUUGCAGUUCCCUGAGGCUCGAGCACAGGUUCAGUAGUUAUGAUGUGCGGGCUUAGUUGCCCUGUGGCAUGUGGGAUUUUCCCAGGCCAGGGAUCUAACCGCAUUGGCAAGAGAACUCAUUACCACUGAACCACCAAGGAAACCCCUCAACAUCUUCCUUAAGGGGGCUCAUCACCUAAUCACCUUCCAAAGGCCCCACUUUCGAAUACCAUCACCUUAGCGGCUAGGUGUCAACACAGGGAUUUUGGCGGAACACAAGCAUUCAGACCACAGCACUUACCUUCUCUGUGCAUCUCUUGCUCUCUCUCGGAGAGUAGCCCUAUAUAGAAGCUCAUGUGGCUGUGCAGAAUUGAUUGCUAGUGGGAAGCUGCUGUGUAACAAAGGGGAGCCCAGCCUGAUGUUCUCUAACGACCUAGAGGGGUAUGAUGGAAGGGGUUAGGGAGGCUCAAGACAGAGGGGUUAUAUAUAUAAUAAUUGCUGAUUUGUGUCGUUGUGAGGUGGAAACCAACUCAACAUUGUAAAACAAGUAUCCUCCUAUUAAGAAAUUUUUAAAAAAGAAGCUAACAUGGAAAGGCACUGGUAUCUUCAGCCAACAGCCAGUGAAGACCCG
ensembl:lncRNA